GAGUGGCGAACGGGUGAGUAAUACAUCGGAACGUGCCCGAUCGUGGGGGAUAACGCAGCGAAAGCUGUGCUAAUACCGCAUACGAUCUACGGAUGAAAGCAGGGGAUCGCAAGACCUUGCGCGGACGGAGCGGCCGAUGGCAGAUUAGGUAGUUGGUGGGGUAAAGGCUCACCAAGCCGACGAUCUGUAGCUGGUCUGAGAGGACGACCAGCCACACUGGGACUGAGACACGGCCCAGACUCCUACGGGAGGCAGCAGUGGGGAAUUUUGGACAAUGGGCGCAAGCCUGAUCCAGCCAUGCCGCGUGCAGGAUGAAGGCCUUCGGGUUGUAAACUGCUUUUGUACGGAACGAAAAGGUCUUCUCUAAUAAAGAGGGCUCAUGACGGUACCGUAAGAAUAAGCACCGGCUAACUACGUGCCAGCAGCCGCGGUAAUACGUAGGGUGCAAGCGUUAAUCGGAAUUACUGGGCGUAAAGCGUGCGCAGGCGGUGAUGUAAGACAGAUGUGAAAUCCCCGGGCUCAACCUGGGAACUGCAUUUGUGACUGCAUCGCUGGAGUGCGGCAGAGGGGGAUGGAAUUCCGCGUGUAGCAGUGAAAUGCGUAGAUAUGCGGAGGAACACCGAUGGCGAAGGCAAUCCCCUGGGCCUGCACUGACGCUCAUGCACGAAAGCGUGGGGAGCAAACAGGAUUAGAUACCCUGGUAGUCCACGCCCUAAACGAUGUCAACUGGUUGUUGGGUCUUCACUGACUCAGUAACGAAGCUAACGCGU
rnacentral:rRNA from 1 species